UUCUAUGGGCGGGCUGUAGCAGGGAGGCCCUCGGGCCUGCCGGUUUAUGGUUUCAGUACCGGUCCGCCAACCUUGCUACGUGCCCGCUCACCCCC
rnacentral:antisense_RNA from 2 species